GAUGAACGCUGGCGGCGUGCCUAAUACAUGCAAGUCGAGCGAACAGACGAGGAGCUUGCUCCGCUGACGUUUGCGGCGGACGGGUGAGUCACACGUGGAUCCCCUACCUAUAAGACUGGGAUAACUUCGGGAAACCGGCGCUAAUACCGGAUAAUAUAUUGCACCGCGUGGUUCAUUAGUGAAUGACGGUUUUUCUGGCUCUUAUAGAUGGUUCUGCGCCGUAUUAGCUAGUUGGUACGGUAACGGCUUAUCAAGGCAACCAUGCGUAGCCGACCUGAUAGGGUGGUCGGCCACCUGGGAAGUGAGACACGGUCCAGGCUCCUACGGGAGGCAGCAGUAGGGAAUCUUCGGCAAUGGGCGAAAGCCUGACGGAGCAACGCCACGUGAGUGAUGAAGGUCUUCGGAUCGUAAAACUCUGUUAUUAGGGAAGAACAAAUGUGUAAGUAACUGUGCACGUCUUGACGGUACCUAAUCAGAAAGCCACGGCUAACUACGUG
rnacentral:rRNA from 1 species